UACGGAGGAUCCAAGCGUUAUCCGGAAUCAUUGGGUUUAAAGGGUCCGUAGGCGGUUUGGUAAGUCAGUGGUAAAGCCACUCGCUCAACGGUGGAACGGCCAUUGAUACUGCCAGACUUGAAUUAUUAGGAAGUAACUAGAAUAUGUAGUGUAGCGGUGAAAUGCUUAGAGAUUACAUGGAAUACCAAUUGCGAAGGCAGGUUACUACUAAUGGAUUGACGCUGAUGGACGAAAGCGUGGGUAGCGAACAGG
rnacentral:rRNA from 1 species